rnacentral:rRNA from 1 species
GGGGAAUUUUUCGCAAUGGGGGAAACCCUGACGAAGCAACGCCGCGUGGAGGAUGAAGGCCUUCGGGUCGUAAACUCCUGUCGACCGGGACGAACGUAGUCGGGUCCAAUACACCCGGCUAUCGACUGUACCGGCGGAGGAAGCCACGGCUAACUCGGUGCCAGCAGCCGCGGUAAUACAGAGGUGGCAAGCGUUGUUCGGAAUAACUGGGCGUAAAGGGCGCGUAGGCGGCUUUUUAAGUUGACGGUUAAAAGCCAUGGCUUAACCAUGGAGAUGCCGGCGAUACUGGAAGGCUAGAGUAUGGUAGAGAGGAGUGGAAUUCUCGGAGUAGCGGUAAAAUGCGUAGAUCUCGAGAGGAACACCGAUGGCGAAGGCAGCUCCUUGGGCCAUAACUGACGCUAAGGCGCGAAAGCGUGGGGAGCAAA